AUUGAACGCUGGCGGCAUGCUUUACACAUGCAAGUCGAACGGUAACAGGCCGCAAGGUGCUGACGAGUGGCGAACGGGUGAGUAAUGCAUCGGAACGUGCCCAGUCGUGGGGGAUAACGCAGCGAAAGCUGCGCUAAUACCGCAUACGAUCCAUGGAUGAAAGCGGGGGCCCGAAAGGCCUCGCGCGAUUGGAGCGGGCGAUGUCGGAUUAGGUAGUGGGUGGGGUAAAGGCCCACCAAGCCAACGAUCUGUAGCUGGUCUGAGAGGACGACCAGCCACACCGGGACUGAGACACGGCCCAGACUCCUACGGGAGGCAGCAGUGGGGAAUUUUGGACAAUGGGCGCAAGCCUGAUCCAGCAAUGCCGCGUGCAGGAAGAAGGCCUUCGGGUUGUAAACUGCUUUUGUACGGAACGAAACGGUCCGGGUUAAUACCCUGGGCUAAUGACGGUACCGUAAGAAUAAGCACCGGCUAACUACGUGCCAGCAGCCGCAGUAAUAC
rnacentral:rRNA from 1 species